CCUUCGGGAGGCUGCAGUAGGGAAUUUUCGUCAAUGGGCGCAAGCCUGAACGAGCGAUUCCGCGUGAGUGAAGAAGGCCCUCGGGUCGUAAAGCUCUGUUGCGGGGGAAAAAAAGCAACAUCAGGAAAUGGGUGCUGACUGAUGGUGCUCCGCGAGAAAGUCACGGCUAACUACGUGCCAGCAGCCGCGGUAAUACGUAGGUGGCGAGCGUUAUCCGGAAUGAUUGGGCGUAAAGGGUGCGCAGGCGGUCCUGUAAGUCUGGUGUGAAACGCCUGAGCUCAACUCAUGAAUGGCAUUUGAAACUGGAGGACUGGAGAGCAGGAGAGGGCGGUGGAAUUCCAUGUGUAGCGGUAAAAUGCGUAGAUAUAUGGAAGAACACCAGUGGCGAAGGCAGCCGCCUGGCCUGUUGCUGACGCUGAGGCACGAAAGCGUGGGGAGCAAAUAGGAUUAGAUACCCCAGUAGUC
rnacentral:rRNA from 1 species